UUAAUUGUAUUCAAGUUAGGGAGAAAAAUGUUGGUUGCUAAGAGGUUGAGAAUUUUUUUUUUGAAAAAAAGAAAUAAAAUAAAAGAAAAAAAACCUUGAAAAAAAUAGUAAAAAGGUUUUAUGCUAAUAAUUUGUGUAAAAAGGUGUAACAACUGGGCAAUGAGAAAAAGGUAAAUGGAGUUGUGAGUGCUUGAGAAUUUGGGAAGUGAUCUCUCUCAUAUGAUUAGGAAAUAUUUUUGUUUCAAUUACCUUUAGACAUGACCUUUCUUU
rnacentral:lncRNA from 1 species